AUAGAUGUAUUUUUCAGGACA
rnacentral:snRNA from 1 species